UGUGAUCACAAUGAAGUGGAUUGGCUGAAUCAAGUGGUAUGGAAAUGAAAAUGAUCAAAGGCUGAUUGAAUUAGUCAUAUACUCUUGAAAAAAAAAGAAAAAAAAGAAAAAUAAGAGAAAUAAGAGAAUUGAUGACUUCCGAACGAUUUUACUAGCCUAAGAGAACUAGCUCCACCAUCCAAAUAAAUUCCUCCCGUCCACCACACAUUACCUCGGCCCC
rnacentral:lncRNA from 1 species